CUAUUCUGGUUCCUCACAGAGUUCUAGGCAAAUAGUGGCUGCUGGGCAAAUAUUACAUGAAUGAGUGAAUAAAUACAUUUAAACUUGAUAGUGAUGAAAAGUAAUACUAUCUCCAUUUUACAGAUGUUGAGGCAUAGAGGGACUUAGUGACUCACCUCUGAUCACAUAGCUAAAAAGUUGAGGAAUCUGAAGAUUGAGGGUGGGUGCCUGAAGUUAGGCUCUUUCUAUUUCCCUGAGCAUGUCCCUCCUGAAAACUGCCCCAAGCAAGUGUCACAACCACAUUCUAUGUCUUUGUAACAGAAAUGGACCACACCCUACUUGAAAUAGUAUCAGGGAAUCAUAGAAUGGAAGAACAACUAAGAAACUGGAGAAGAGCUUGGGUUCAAGUAGUAGAAGUAAAAGUUGAGCAAAGCCCAUACUGGGCAUCCAAAAAGGAAAAGAAAAGCAAAUGUCCAUUGCAAGUUGUGGCAUCCUAAGCCAGAAAUGAGUCAUCCCCUCAAGAGGCUAUGCCCCUCUCCUCCCCCAGGAGGUCUUAAUGGAGGAGAAGAGGGGCAGAUGAAGCAGUCUAUCACAAUGCCAUCUUUGAAUGCCAGAUGGACUUUUCUUUAGAAGUUUCUUGAGUGUUGAAAGUGAGAACUCACAUGUCUCCCAAUCCACCCCACACACUCCACCAGUCUGGUUUUUAUUUUUAUUUUUUUCUGUUGCUUCUGUUGUUGUUCACACUUUCCUGUAGGGUCAUUUCAAAUUCCUAUUUCCUGAUGACACAACAUCCUUCUGUAAUCAGCUGGCAGCGGGUACAGCCUGCGAAAACUUCAGGUAGCAGCCCUGCCUGGCACCAUUUUCAGCAGCAUCCUGUUCACAACUUUCCAGUUUGACUCCAAAUGCCAAUUUUGGUUUGUGAAAAUUUCCAUGGCCUCCUGCUAGGCUACUCUCUACAUAUUCCAGCUUAUAGCACAGUGAUCUCUUGGGCUGGGCCCCAGCCCCCAUCCUGUGCUCUGUGCUAUCAUUACUUCACAGAGGACGUUUUUUUUUUUUUUUUUUGGUACUGGGGAUUGAACUCAGGGACACUGGACCACUGAGUCACAUCUCCAGCCCUAUUUUUUAUUUUAUUUAGAGACGGGGUCUUGCUGAGUUGCUUAGCACCUCACUUUUGCUGAGGCUGGCUUUGAACUUGCGAUCCUCCUGCCUCAACCUCCCGAGCCGCUGGGAUUACAGGCACGCACCACCAAGCCCAGCCUGACACUUUUAACAUUGGUAAUGAGCAGUGACUUCAGACAUAGCCCAACAACCCCACUUGGGAGGAGGGGCAUACUGGAGGAACCCAGAGAGGGUAAGGAACUCUGUUAUAGUUAUAUGUUCCAAUUGUGACAGAACCAGGACUUGGAAACCAAGGCUUUAAGUCCACUACCCCAGGCUUCUUCAUGAAAAAAGGCUGCUAAAUUAGGAAGGUGAGGUUCUUGCAAUUCUGCUACAGUAUGCCAAAGAGUCUACAAUUCUAGAGUUACAAGGAGGCCCUGCAUUUUCUGUUGGAAUAAUUGAUUCAGGAUUUUCCCUUAGCAGCCUCCUCUGUUGUCGGGCUCUGGGCUAAGCAUUUACUG
rnacentral:lncRNA from 1 species